UACGUAGGGUGCAAGCGUUGUCCGGAAUUAUUGGGCGUAAAGAGCUCGUAGGCGGUCAGUCGCGUCUGCUGUGAAAACUCGGGGCUUAACUCCGGGCCUGCAGUGGGUACGGGCUGACUAGAGUGCGGUAGGGGAGACUGGAAUUCCUGGUGUAGCGGUGAAAUGCGCAGAUAUCAGGAGGAACACCGGUGGCGAAGGCGGGUCUCUGGACAGUUCCUGACACUGAGGCACGAAGGCCAGGGGAGCAAACGGG
rnacentral:rRNA from 1 species